CCCUCUCCUCCAAGGUUGCAAGGAUGAGGUUACACUAAGGAAAUAAUUCUCUCUUCUGACCAACCACAUCAUUCUGUGAAGCAAUAGAAGAAAAAUCAAGAGAAAAAAUAAUGCAAAUAUGUCAGAGUAUGAUGUGGCCGUUUGCUGUUGUCUAGGAUUUUCCAGAUACAGCUGCUGCAGUCAUGCUUGUCACAGGAUGUACGGUGCAGUCUGCAACAGCAUUAACGUGACAUUGAUUUAAUUUGUUCUGUGUAAUGGAUUGUAAUUGAAUCUACAGGUUAAAUUUAACGAGUGUCUGUUACCAAAGCCUCUGUUUGCAGUUUCCCAGUUUCUAAACCAAGCCUAAAUGACCUUAUUUAUUCAGAAUAAAAAGAUGCUUUUGAGUUUG